rnacentral:misc_RNA from 1 species
UGGGAGGGGGCUUGCUCCCGAUGGCGGUGGGUCAGUCAAUAUAUUUAUUAACUGACACUCCGCCAUCGGGAGCAAGCCCCUCCCAC